CCUACGGGAGGCAGCAGUGGGGAAUCUUGCGCAAUGGGCGAAAGCCUGACGCAGCCAUGCCGCGUGAAUGAUGAAGGUCUUAGGAUUGUAAAAUUCUUUCACCGGGGACGAUAAUGACGGUACCCGGAGAAGAAGCCCCGGCUAACUUCGUGCCAGCAGCCGCGGUAAUACGAAGGGGGCUAGCGUUGCUCGGAAUUACUGGGCGUAAAGGGAGCGUAGGCGGAUAGUUUAGUCAGAGGUGAAAGCCCAGGGCUCAACCUUGGAAUUGCCUUUGAUACUGGCUAUCUUGAGUGUGGGAGAGGUAUGUGGAACUCCGAGUGUAGAGGUGAAAUUCGUAGAUAUUCGGAAGAACACCAGUGGCGAAGGCGACAUACUGGCCCAUUACUGACGCUGAGGCUCGAAAGCGUGGGGAGCAAACAGGAUUAGAUACCCUGGUAGUCCACGCUGUAAACGAUGAGUGCUAGUUGUCGGCAGGCAUGCCUGUCGGUGACGCAGCUACGACAUAAGACACUCCGCCGUCGGGGAGGUACGGUCGGCGAAGAAGUUAAAACGUUAAAAGUUAAGUUAAGUUAGUACGGCGUUGAGACGUUGCCGACGGACGACGACGAGGGGAGGAGG
rnacentral:rRNA from 1 species